CAGUAGCCGCGGGAAUACGUAGGGUGCAAGCGUUAAUCGGAAUUACUGGGCGUAAAGCGUGCGCAGGCGGUUUGUUAAGGCAGAUGUGAAAUCCCCGGGCUCAACCUGGGAACUGCAUUUGUGACUGGCAGGCUAGAGUAUGGCAGAGGGGGGUGGAAUUCCGCGCGUAGCAGUGAAAUGCGUAGAUAUGCGGAGGAACACCGAUGGCGAAGGCAGCCCCCUGGGCCAAUACUGACGCUCAUGCACGAAAGCGUGGGGAGCAAACAGGAUUAGAUACCCCCGUAGUCCCUGUCUCUUAUAC
rnacentral:rRNA from 1 species